GGGGGUGUAAUGGUUUCGACAUUAAUCUUGAAGUACGAAAAGCGAGUAGUGGAUGGUUGCUUUGGCCACUAUAAAAAAGCAAAACUAAAUAUAAACGCUAAUAACGAAGAAUUAGCUUACGCUGCCUAGUUGCAACGUCGUUUAAAUUAUAAAGCCUACUGUUAUAAUUUAGGCGCCAAAUUAAAGUAGGAAACGAAACUAUUAGUUCUCUGGAAUAGUGGGUAAUUAAGAGAUACUAUAUAAAUUGUUUUGUUUAUUAAUCAAUUUAUAUUAGGAAAUUUAAAUAAUAAACUGCACUCGGAGAAAUUCGUAUGGACGGGUUGAUGGACAGGAGUUCGACUCUCCUCACCUCCACCA
rnacentral:tmRNA from 1 species